rnacentral:rRNA from 1 species
ACGAACGCUGGCGGCGUGCUUAACACAUGCCAGUCGAACGGAAAGGCCCUGCUUUUGUGGGGUGCUCGAGUGGCGAACGGGUGAGUAACACGUGAGUAACCUGCCCUUGACUUUGGGAUAACUUCAGGAAACUGGGGCUAAUACCGGAUAGGAGCUCCUGCUGCAUGGUGGGGGUUGGAAAGUUUCGGCGGUUGGGGAUGGACUCGCGGCUUAUCAGCUUGUUGGUGGGGUAGUGGCUUACCAAGGCUUUGACGGGUAGCCGGCCUGAGAGGGUGACCGGCCACAUUGGGACUGAGAUACGGCCCAGACUCCUACGGGAGGCAGCAGUGGGGAAUAUUGCACAAUGGGCGGAAGCCUGAUGCAGCAACGCCGCGUGCGGGAUGACGGCCUUCGGGUUGUAAACCGCUUUCGCCUGUGACGAAGCGUGAGUGACGGUAAUGGGUAAAGAGGCACCGGCUAACUACGUG